rnacentral:tRNA from 1 species
AGUAGAAUGGCUGAGUUUUAAGGUGAUAGAUUGUAAAUCUAUUAAGGAAUUAAUAUAAUUCUUCUACUA